AUUGAACGCUGGCGGAAUGCUUUACACAUGCAAGUCGAACGGCAGCACGGGGCAACCUGGUGGCGAGUGGCGAACGGGUGAGUAAUACAUCGGAACGUGCCCAGUCGUGGGGGAUAACGUAGCGAAAGUUACGCUAAUACCGCAUACGAUCUAUGGAUGAAAGCGGGGGAUCGCAAGACCUCGCGCGAUUGGAGCGGCCGAUGUCAGAUUAGGUAGUUGGUGGGGUAAAGGCCUACCAAGCCGACGAUCUGUAGCUGGUCUGAGAGGACGACCAGCCACACUGGGACUGAGACACGGCCCAGACUCCUACGGGAGGCAGCAGUGGGGAAUUUUGGACAAUGGGCGCAAGCCUGAUCCAGCCAUUCCGCGUGCAGGAUGAAGGCCUUCGGGUUGUAAACUGCUUUGUACGGUAACGAAAAGGACUACUGGUUAAUACCGGGGCUCAUGACGGUACCGUAAGAAUAAGCACCGGCUAACUACGUAGCCAGCAG
rnacentral:rRNA from 1 species